GUGGUGCAAUUCUAAUAUGGAACGUGAAGCAACUCUGCCGAUCUUUUGUUGGGUUGAGCAACUCUCUUUGAAUGUUAUGUACAAUAAAUCGACUGAGGAGAAGUCGACUUAGCUUGAGACAUUGUACAAGUUUUUUGGACUCUGUUUAUUUUCAGUUCUGCUAUCUGGUUUAUCUAUAUUAUGUUUCUUGUUAUGUAAUACCAUUCCAAUAUGAGAAUCUACUCUGCAUUUACUGGGUAGAAAAUCGUAUCCUUCUGCUCCAUAAAAUUUUUGCCAAAUAAGAAAAUGUCUCAAAAUAGGUGGAACGUUCAAAAACGAAAAUGUCUUAAGAUAGGUAAAACGAAGAAAGUAUUUAAUUGAAAAAGAUAUAAUGCAAGUAAANACAAUAAUAAUAUACUGGCAUGAUAAAUAUUUCAAGCUUACAACUCCGCAACGUGUUCUUCAUAGUCUCUUGUGCCCUUUUUCCAGAACUGUGGUGCAAUUCUAAUAUGGAACGUGAAGCAACUCUACCGAUCUUUUGUUGGGUUGAGCAACUCUCUUUGAAUGUUAUGUACAAUAAAUCGACUGAGGAGAAGUCGACUUAGCUUGAGACGUACAAGUUUUUUGGACUCUGUUUAUUUUCAGUUCUGCUAUCUGGUUUAUCUAUAUUAUGUUUCUUGUUAUGUAAUGCCAUUCCAAUAUGAGAAUCUACUCUGCAUUUACUGGGUAGAAAAUCGUAUCCUUCUCUGCAUUAAAUUUUAAGCUUCAGAAAGUGUUCGCC
rnacentral:lncRNA from 1 species